UAUAUAUAUAUAUAUUUCGGACAGUUUCUUUUGUAUAUUAUCUGACUUUAUAAACAACAACAACAAUGUGCUUCUAUUUUUUUUUUUCAGGCUAAAUGAAAUGUAGAAUUUUGCCUAAAAUCUACAUGGUUUGUUUAUUUGAUUAUUUCAGAUUACAAAUUGCUGCAAUGCACUAUAAUGAAAAUGCAGCACGCUCACAUGCAGCAACAGCAACUGGUGAGCUGAGAUAUGCUGUAGUGUACCCAAAGUACAAACAUGGAGACUACACAGUGAGAGCCCUGAAGACCAAUCCAACCUCAUUAUAUGUGCACAAGCUUAUGGAUCUGCUGUUUGACUCUGUGGUGGUGGAUCCUCUCCCAUAUCAGGAGUACUCGGACAAAAUUCCGGUUCCAGAACCUCUCUGUGCCCAGUUCCAAAGACCAGAUAAACGGGAUGCUGUGAGCAGGCACAGGUCCAGGUUUUAAAGUGCACGUAAGGUGAGCUACACAACAAGAGAUUGUAAUUAUUAGUUAGUACUCUACUCUGUGUGGUUUUUCCUUUUCUCCUCCUCAGCCAGGCUGCACACCACUGUACGACAGAGGAGUUACCUGUCGUCAUUAUGGAUCUUUAUGCUCAUCCACUCGUGACUCAUGCUGUCCACCUCCCAGAUGUCUAUUGAUCUCUACAACCUUUCUGCUCUGUGGCUUCCAUACAACUUGAAAAUCUUGGCCAGCCUCCUGAUAUUGUUACAGAAAAGCCUGUGCUCCCGGGAUCCAUCUCCACGUUUGUCAUCACAGUGAAAGCUACCUCCAGUCUAAGGAACCAAAGAAACAUCACUGAUGGCCCAACCUAUAUUCACAUGGCUCCAGAAUCUCUGCUUGUGGUUUAGAGUUUUGUCAAAAAUCAUGAAAGUUAUGAUCAGAUUGUAAUCUAACGUUGUCUUAGUAGUAGCUAUAAUAAAUGUUAUCUUUAAAGCGCAAUUGUGUCAUUUUAAAUACAAUUAUAUUGAUAUUUUGAUGUGUAUAAAUACAUAUAUCACAUUUAUUAAAUUAUCAUUCAUUUUUACCUAAUUGAACCUGCUCUAGAAUAGACUUCAUUAAUCACACAGGGUGUAAACUCACUUGUUACAGCAGCAUUAAUUAACCCCGAAUUAGAACCUUACUGUUGUAAGAGCUCAUUUGAAAGUGUGUGGCUAUAUGUGUGUAUAUAUAAAUAAUGUCAAAGUGUAAAGAAGUGCAUUUACCGUUUUGUGAUUUAUGCAGCUUAUUAUGGACAGGAAUCAAUACAGGAAAUAUAUAUUAUAACAUUUAUUUAAUCCAAAAAAUAUAUAUUAGUUCAGAGGAGGGAGGAAUCCUUUGUAUGCACCGUCUUCUGGGAACUCCUGCCUUAUUCUGGAGACAGCGCAUGACGGGAUCACAACACGAACGUGCUGUCCCAGGUAACCCCAACACCACCUGACCACAUUCCGGUACGCCAGAUGUCUGUAACAGCUGAGAAAGAGGUGGUAUGAGUUACAAAGUAUUCAUAAAAAAAUUAUUUUGACAGUUGUCUUACCUGUUGAGCGUAGUCUCCUGCAUCUCCCCAUAG